UACGUAGGGUGCAAGCGUUGUCCGGAAUUAUUGGGCGUAAAGAGCUCGUAGGCGGUUUGUCGCGUCUGCUGUGAAAACCCGAGGCUCAACCUCGGGCCUGCAGUGGGUACGGGCAGACUAGAGUGCGGUAGGGGAGAUUGGAAUUCCUGGUGUAGCGGUGGAAUGCGCAGAUAUCGAGGAGGAACACCAAUGGCGAAGGCAGCUCGCUGGAACGGUACUGACGCUGAGGCGCGAAAGCGUGGGAGGCGAAGCG
rnacentral:rRNA from 1 species